rnacentral:misc_RNA from 1 species
GAUGAAGAACGCAGCGAAAUGCGAUAAGUAAUGUGAAUUGCAGAAUUCAGUGAAUCAUCGAAUCUUUGAACGCAUCUUGCGCUCCUUGGUAUUCUGAGGAGGAUGCCUGUUUGAGUGUCAUUAAAUUCUCAACUACACUGACUUUGAAUUGGUGUGGCUUGGAUUUGGGGGGAAAAUUGUUGUGGGCUUUUUGUAUAGUCUGCUCCCCUGAAAUUGAUUAGCGGUACCUUUGUGGAACUGUCUACAGGUGUGAUAAUUAUCUACAUCUUAGACAUCUGCUGGAAUGCUGCUUUCUAAACCUUACUUGUAUUGACAAUCUUGACCUCAAAUCAGGUAGGACUACCCGCUGAACUUAAGCAUAUCAAUAAGCGGAGGA